rnacentral:rRNA from 1 species
UAGGGNACAUCUUCGGCAAUGGGGGGAACCCUGACCGAGCAACGCCGCGUGAGUGAAGAAGGUUUUCGGAUCGUAAAGCUCUGUUGUUAAGGAAGAACGAGUGUGAGAAUGGAAAGUUCAUACUGUGACGGUACUUAACCAGAAAGGGACGGCUAACUACGUGCCAGCAGCCGCGGUAAUACGUAGGUCCCGAGCGUUGUCCGGAUUUAUUGGGCGUAAAGCGAGCGCAGGCGGUUAGAUAAGUCUGAAGUUAAAGGCAGUGGCUCAACCAUUGUAGGCUUUGGAAACUGUUUAACUUGAGUGCAGAAGGGGAGAGUGGAAUUCCAUGUGUAGCGGUGAAAUGCGUAGAUAUAUGGAGGAACACCGGUGGCGAAAGCGGCUCUCUGGUCUGUAACUGACGCUGAGGCUCGAAAGCGUGGGGAGCGAACAGGAUUAGAUACCCUGGUAGUCCACGCCGUAAACGAUGAGUGCUAGGUGUUAGGUCCUUUCCGGGACUUAGUGCCGCAGCUAACGCAUUAAGCACUCCGCCUGGGGAGUACGACCGCAAGGUUG